CAAUAUGGCUACUGGGUGUAAAAGAUAAAUCUUAUUCUAUCUGUUCUUAAUGAGUUUUAGAUAAUUUUAGUUGUAUUUCUUUGUAAUUUUGUGUUGUACAAAGAUUAAUUUAACAUUUUCUCUGGAAGUAUUAAUUUAGAAAGAUAAUAUGCUUCAUUGGUGUUGUGUUUUGAAGUGUGAAAUGCAAAGUAAUUGUGAUAAAGUCAAGAUAAAUUUCACUUUUAAACUGAACUAAAUAAGGUAUCUGAGAGACAACAAUGGUUAAAUGCAAUACAAUGUACAGGUUUUACUAGCGAAAUGAAAAUUUUCCUGUCCUGUCUGCUGUAAUCAUUUUAUAUCUGGAAAACCAGCCAACUUAAUCGAUAAUAACAAUCUCCAGAUUGGGUUCCUUCAAUAAAUAUGGGCUAUUAACACAAUGAAAUAAGUUCCAGAAAAUCUAAAAUGGAGUGGUAUCAAAGGAGAAUUAAAGGAAAAAAUAUUCAUAUUGAAAUUAUUUAUAAGGCACUGGACUGUCUUAAAUUCUACAAUAAUACUAGAAUCAGCUGAGAGAAGUGGUCUACAAAAAACCAGGAAGGAAACGGAAUAUGUGGCUACGAAAGGCAAAAGAAAGGUUUACAAAGCAAAUGUGACACAUUUUUUGAAAUAUUUAGGAAUAUCAGUAAAUUGCAUUAAAAAAAUGUAUGAAAAGAUUUUGUUCAAUAAAAAUGUUUAUAUUUAUCAAGGAUGUAUUAUUUGGUAUGGCCAC